rnacentral:rRNA from 1 species
UACGUAGGGUGCAAGCGUUGUCCGGAAUUAUUGGGCGUAAAGAGCUCGUAGGCGGUUUGUCGCGUCUGCUGUGAAAACUCGGGGCUUAACUCCGGGCCUGCAGUGGGUACGGGCAGACUAGAGUGCGGUAGGGGAGACUGGAAUUCCUGGUGUAGCGGUGAAAUGCGCAGAUAUCGGGAGGAACACCGGUGGCGAAGGCGGGUCUCUGGGCCGAUACUGACGCUGAGGAGCGAAAGCGUGGGGAGCGAACAGG